GACGAACGCUGGCGGCGUGCUUAACACAUGCAAGUCGUACGGUAAGGCCCUUUCGGGGGUACACGAGUGGCGAACGGGUGAGUAACACGUGAGUAACCUGCCCACAACUUUGGGAUAACGCUAGGAAACUGGUGCUAAUACUGGAUAUGUGCUCCUGCUGCAUGGUGGGGGUUGGAAAGCUCCGGCGGUUGUGGAUGGACUCGCGGCCUAUCAGCUUGUUGGUGGGGUAGUGGCCUACCAAGGCGGCGACGGGUAGCCGGCCUGAGAGGGUGACCGGCCACAUUGGGACUGAGAUACGGCCCAGACUCCUACGGGAGGCAGCAGUGGGGAAUAUUGCACAAGGGGCGCAAGCCUGAUGCAGCAACGCCGCGUGCGGGAUGACGGCCUUCGGGUUGUAAACCGAUUUCAGCAGGGACGAAGCUUUUUGUGACGGUACCUGCAGAAGAAGCACCGGCUAACUACGUG
rnacentral:rRNA from 1 species